CUUGCUUUUUCCAUGAUCCAGGGGAUGUUGGCAAUUUGAUCUCUGGUUCCUCUGCCUUUUCUAAAACCAGCUUGAACAUCAGGAAGUUCACGGUUCACAUUUUGCUGAAGCCUGGCUUGGAGAAUUUUGAGCAUGACUUUACUAGCGUGUGAGAUGAGUGCAAUUGUUCAGUAGUUUGAGCAUUCUUUGGCAUUGCCUUUAGGUCAGUCAUGUCCAAAUCUUUACAACCACAAGGACUGCAGCAUACCAGACUUCCCUGUCCUUCACCAUCUCCCAGAGUUUGCCCAAGCUCAUGUCCAUUGAAUCGAUGAUACCAUAUAACCUCUGUUAUCCUCUUCUCCUGCCUUCAAUCUUUCCCAGCAUCAGGGUCUUUUCCAAUGAGUCAGUUCUUUCAUCUCCUAGCCAAAGUAUUGGAGCUUCAGCCCCAGAAUUAGUCUUUCCAAUGAAUAUUAUGGAUUGAUAUCCUUUAGGAUUGACUGGUUUGAUCUCCUUGCUGACCAAAGGACUCUCAAGAGUUCAAAAGUAUCAAUUCCUCAGGGCUCAGCCUUCUUUAUGGUCCAACUUUAACAUCCAUACAUGAAAACUGGGGGGAAAAAAACCCAUAGCUUUUACUAUAUGAACUUUCUCAGCAAAGUAAUGUCUCUGCAUUUUAAUAUGUUGUCUAGGUUUGUCAUAGCUUUUCUUUCAAGGAGCAAGGGUCUUUUAAUUUCAUAGAUGUAUUCACCCUCUGCAGUGAUUUUGCAGUCUAAGAAAAUAAAGUCUAUCACUGUUUCCAUUGUUUCCCCAUCUAUUUGCCAGGGAGUGAUGGUACUGGAUGCAUUAUCUUAGUUUUUGAAUGUUGAGUUUUAAGCCAGCUUUUCCAUUCUCCUCUCUCACCUUCAUUAAGAGGCUCUUUAGUUCCUCUUUGCUUUCUGCCAUAAGGGUGGUGUCACCUCCUCUCACCUAAUCCAAUUUCAAGCCAAAAAUGUCACAAUACUGAAUGUGGAAUUGAAAGGGUAUGUGCACUUGCCUCUUUGGGCCAUUAGUGCCAUUCCAACAUGUGGUUAGACAUGUGCAGCCAAAGACCAUAUGAGAUACAGAACAUUUCCAUCAUUUAAUCAUGUUUUCCAAGACCCUUUUCAGACAAUCUCUAUCCCCAUAAGUCACUAACUUUCUGAUUUACAUCAUAAUGAGUUAUUUUAAUUUUCUUUAAACUUUUGUAAAUAAAGUAUUAAUAACCAAUAUGUUUUCUUAAAUAUCUGGAUGAAAAUAUUGAAAUAUUACUUCAUCAUUUAUUAAUUUUGCUAUUUUCUUAAAUAGUUAUGUGCCUCCA
ensembl:lncRNA